rnacentral:pre_miRNA from 1 species
UGUGCACCAGUGGGGUCCCUUGGCCUGGCCUGCGGGAUCGGGCCGAAACCGGCUUUCUGACAUCCCCGAAGGGUCCCGGAUUAUGAGAGGGCGCAGACCAGGCCAAGGGACUCCACUGGUGCACA